rnacentral:lncRNA from 1 species
GUAGUGGUCAGACUGGUAGAUCUAGGCUGAACUUGGGAGUGGAGGUGGGGUGCUGGAUGGAGAAAGAAUCAGGAAGCGUCAAGGCCACUGAUGCCUCCUCGGCCACUGACCUUGGGGAAGUAUCUGUUUUAUCUCAAGCCCAACAUUAUUAAUCAUUGGGCUUUUUUGAGAUUUCGAAGUACGUUAUAGGGAUUUCACUCCUAGCUGUCUUGAAGAAAAGCAGUCCACGUUUAAAUUAUAUUUGAUGAAGUGUGGCUCACAUUUUUAUCAUGUACUCAGGUCAGCGCUGCUCAUUAGCCGUAGUAAUCAGAGGAAGAAUGGAAUGACUUAUUGAUUGAAAUUGGCCCUUUAAUACACAAAAAGUUCUCCAUAAACCCGUGACUGGGCAUUGGAAAUGCUACAGCUUUCAUACUUGAAGGACUGUGAGACUUUGGGAUCGCAAAACGGUGUCUGAUAACUAAGGAGGAAGCAGAGGAGGAGACUCGAAGGGAGAAAGUGAAACAGCUCUGCAACAUACGGAGUAUUUUGCUAGCUGUGUGUUGAUAGAAAUCUAACUCUUGUCAUCUCCCUACACUGUGCUCACACAUGAAAAGAACUGUGGCUGUUUAUCAAGCACUUACCUGCCAGGAACUGUUCUUUAUAUAAAUUGUCUCAUUUGAACCUCACAACAACCCUAAGGACUAGGUACUGUAUUUUAUCCCCAUUUUAGGGAAAGGAAACAGGCUUAGAGAGUCAAAAAAGUACUUCUUAAACAUCGUACAGUAAGUUAAUAGCAGAAUUUGAACUCUACUCCAGGUCUGGCAAGACCGAAGUUUUACCAUCAUCCAGAAUACUAGCUGCCACACUAAAUGGUCAGCAAAUGAUGCCGAGUUUAAGAUCCGUUGAGGAGAAUGGCCUGGCGAGAAUUGCAGAAGAGCAGGCAAAGAUUAUGGAACCUCUGGAAUGAGGUUUCAACCAAAACACAUCACAACAGAGUGCAGAAGCCGGUAUGAGAAUCCUGCUGCCUUCUACUAAGCCAGACAUACGAGAUUUGCAAAAAAGGACCUCAGUGCUUCGACUCCCCCCUCCACGCUGGUGACUGCUGUGGGCAGCACGUGAACUUCCGGGCGCUGCUGUGCAAAGGACCGGAGAUCAGGGACAUCAGACUGCCCGCGAGGGGGACUGGAUAAAUCCAUGCACCGCAGGUGUGAGCAGCCACUCCCUCCUUCCACAGUGUUUAUAGGGCGCCUGCCCUGUGCCACGUGCUAUUGUAACACUGGGGUUACAGCUGCAAGCAAAACAGGAAAUCCUCCAGUGCUCUGUUG